GGUACUCUAUUCCAGAACAGAAGCAAAUUUCAGAUUUUGAUAAAAGUUUACAGCAACAAACAAUUUUUUUUCCUGUGUUUUAACUUAUAAAUUAUUUACCAUAAGACUAAUAAUGUGCGCUAAAAAAGUAAAUAGGGUAAAUUUUGAUUUAUUUAUUUUUUUAAUUGAACGGCUACAGACCUUAUGUAGCCCCGCCCCUUUUCAGCGCUGCGCCCGUUGUGUUCUGUCUUCCGAACCGGUUUGAAUUUCCACAGCAAAAGUAACCUGGCAACCAAGUGUGAUCUCCACCCAAACACUGCAUUGCCAACACUGAUGCUCUCGGAUGACAGUCGUUGCUGUCGUAGUGUGGCUUCAUGCGAUACGUAAUUAGCCUGUUACUUUUCUUUGCUAAUGCAUACCGCUGUUUCUGAGCUGUGAUUGAGAACAGAUGUUUCGGCCUCUCGUGGCAAGACACAGAUUCCUGUGCUCCAAGAAAACCCCCUCAAACACUGCUAUUGCUAAACCUGAUAUCCUUUAUUACACAUAAAGAAAUGCAAAUGUCACACCAUAUGAGCUGGACAUAAUAUUAAUUCCAUAUGCAUUAAAGGCUGUAUUGCAUUUCUGUCGAUUAUUACUUCUGAUUUUGAUGAUUAGUAAAUUAUUUGCACACAUCUCUCUGAAACCAUGAGAUUAAUGCCAAAGUUGUCUAUAAAUCUUCUUGGCUUCUCAAAACAGCACACAACUGCAAUAAAAUAUUUGACUAAUAUUUGGCACUUUUUUGUGUGUGUGUUGGCGUCUUUAUUCUUUUUCUUUUUGGAACAUGUGAACAUUUUUUCUGGCAGGAAAUGUAGGAAAAGUUUGUUCAAAACAGGGUUAUUAACUAAAACCAAAACCAUAAAAAACAAAAACAUGUUUGCUACUUGAAAUAAACUGAACAUGAACUGAA